CAAUCCACAGGGACAAGGCAUAGUUGAAAGAGCUCAUCAAACUAUUAAAACAUACUUAUUAAAGCAAAAUGAGGGAAUUGGAAGGGGGUAUAUAUCCCCCAAAGAUAAACUUAAAAUAACGCUUUUUACUCUAAACUUUUUAAAUUUGGAUUCAUCAGGACUUAGUGCUGCGGAAAGGCAUAUGUAUCCAAAAAAUGUACAUAAGCCUAAAGUACUUUGGAAAGAUAUUCUAACAGGAAAAUGGAAAGGUCCUGACCCAGUGAUUGUCUGGAGUCGGGGGUCUGUUUGUGUUUUUCCACAGGGAGAACAGCAGCCAAUUUGGAUUCCAGAGAGAUUAACUAAAACAGUUUCUACAGAUCGAAAAGAAGAUGAUUUGACUCAAAUCCAUAACAGUUGAUAUCCAGAACUCCAGCUUGGCCAUUCUUACAUCUGCGACAGUGAUUAACCAGGAUGCUUUUUUCAAUAGCUAUUUUAUUAUUGCAUUUUUCCACAUCAUAAGGUUCUAUUUUUAUUUUUUGAGCUCAUACAAACCUAGGUUAAUGUUUUUCUGAUCAGUUUUAUUUUUUGACUGUGGAGUUUUUAAACAUUGCAAUGGAGAUUUCACCCAGGAUAAUGUCUCUUUAGCAUCAUUGCCAGAAUUCCUAUCUCCAUCCCAGUGCCAGUGAAGAACUCAACAAGUAAUGCUCAAUCAAAGAGUCAACUUACUUUGGGAGGAAACGGAUUUUGGGAGGAAAUGGACAUAUUGAUAGAUUCCUCUGCUUUGAACUGCUUGCAGAACUUGCCUGGACUAUGUAACUAUCGUUUGGUGCAGCGAAUUGUGGUAAUGGUGGCAUAUCUUUGCUGAUGGUGUCACCAGUGAUGCAAUUUUUCCCAAGGAGCCGUCAAUUGGCUUGGUGUCGUGGCAUUUCUGUAUCCUCCUCCCUUCUGCUAGUGAUGGUCUAAAAUUUGGGGGCCAAUGGCUUAUGCUGGACCGGUAGUCAGUGACGGGUGUGAUCCAAUUGCAGUGGUAUCAACCUAAGACAGGAGGCUGACGCCUAAAGGUCAGUUUUCCGAUGACGGGUAAGAACCAUAUGUUGAAUUGGACAACCUACCAGGCACGGUCCAUAAGCCACAUUAACCUCACUCCCCCACUGGCACCAAGGCCAAAUUUGGGGGCCAACAGAGGUGAGGCAAAGAACCUCACCCCCCCACUGGUGCAUAGACCUAUCCACAAGUAUGGCUGUAUGCUGGACCGGUAGUCAGUGACGGGUAUGAUUCAAUUGCAGUGGUAUCAACCUAAGACAGGAGGCUGACGCCUAAAGGUCAGUUUUCCGAUGACGGGUAAGAACCAUAUGUUGAAUUGGACAACCUACCAGGCACGGUCCUUAAGCCACAUUGCUUGUUGUUUAAUUAAUCAGAAGGGGGGAGAUGCUGGGAGCCAUUAGCCAAGUAGGUAUGACAAUUUCCUUGCCAGCGUACCCCAUGUUGCUGACAUGUUGCAGUGACAUUGAAUGUACGUGACCUUGCUCAAGGACCAAGGCAGAUUAGGGUGUUCCCGGUUUUAAGAUAAUCUUGUUUAGGGCAUUCCCAGUUUAGGUUCCAGGUUUAAGGUUUAAGAUUAUUCCUGCUGGGAAUAGGGCGUAUCCUGCUGCCUGAGUUCCCCUUGAGUUCUCACGGGAUUCAGACAAUAUAUUUUGGAGAUAGAAGCCCAGUGGAGGUGAAUUUGGGAGAGAAGGUGGAUUUGGGAAGAGAACGUGGAUUUCCCCAGAACGUGAUUGUAGACGGCUGGUGUGAGUUCGGGAAUAAAGAGUUGCUGUUUGAAUCUACAA